rnacentral:rRNA from 1 species
AUUGAACGCUGGCGGCAUGCUUUACACAUGCAAGUCGAACGGUAACAGGCCGCAAGGUUCUGACGAGUGGCGAACGGGUGAGUAAUGCAUCGGAACGUGCCCAGUCGUGGGGGAUAACGCAGCGAAAGCUGCGCUAAUACCGCAUACGAUCUAUGGAUGAAAGCGGGGGACCGUAAGGCCUCGCCCGAUUGGAGCGGCCGAUGUCAGAUUAGGUAGUUGGUGGGGUAAAGGCCCACCAAGCCAACGAUCUGUAGCUGGUCUGAGAGGACGACCAGCCACACUGGGACUGAGACACGGCCCAGACUCCUACGGGAGGCAGCAGUGGGGGAUUUUGGACAAUGGGCGCAAGCCUGAUCCAGCAAUGCCGCGUGCAGGAAGAAGGCCUUCGGGUUGUAAACUGCUUUUGUACGGAACGAAACGGUUCUCUCUAAUACAGGGGGCUAAUGACGGUACCGUAAGAAUAAGCACCGGCUAACUACGUGCCAGCAGCCGCGGUAAGAC